rnacentral:rRNA from 1 species
AGAUUGAACGCUGGCGGCAUGCCUUACACAUGCAAGUCGAACGGCAGCACGGGAGCAAUCCUGGUGGCGAGUGGCGAACGGGUGAGUAAUAUAUCGGAACGUGCCCAGUCGUGGGGGAUAACGCAGCGAAAGCUGUGCUAAUACCGCAUACGAUCUAUGGAUGAAAGCGGGGGAUCGCAAGACCUCGCGCGAUUGGAGCGGCCGAUAUCAGAUUAGCUAGUUGGUAGGGGUAAAAGCCUACCAAGGCGACGAUCUGUAGCUGGUCUGAGAGGACGACCAGCCACACUGGAACUGAGACACGGUCCAGACUCCGUACGGGAGCAGCAGGUGGGUAAUUUUGGACAAGUGGGCGACAAGCCUGAUCCAGACAAGUGACCGCGU